rfam:Sporomusa sp. An4 isolate Sporomusa ovata strain An4 genome assembly, contig: SPAN4DRAFT_scaffold-3
UAGGUGGCAUCCGCGAGGAGUCACACUAAGUAACAAAGAGAAUGGAUGUGGCGGAAUUUCAUAGUUAAAUAUACCGCUUAGAUCCGCAGGACUGAGACGGGAGG